GGAAUUGACGGGGCCGCACAAGCGGAGGAACAUGUGGUUAAUUCGAUGAUACGCGAGGAACCUUACCUGGGCUUAAAUGUAGAGUGCAUUUUUUAGAGAUAGAAAUUCCCUUCGGGGCUUUCUGCAAGGUGCUGCAUGGUUGUCGUCAGCUCGUGCCGUGAGGUGUCGGGUUAAGUCCCAUAACGAGCGCAACCCUUAUCGUUAGUUGCCAUCUGGUAAUGCAGGGGACUCUAGCGAAACUGCCACCGUAAGGUGAGAGGAAGGUGGGGAUGACGUCAAAUCAGCACGGCCCUUAUGUCCAGGGCUACACACGUGUUACAAUGGUCGGUACAGAGGGCAGCUACCUGGUGACAGGAUGCUAAUCUCGAAAACCGGUCUCAGUUCGGAUCGAAGUCUGCAACUCGACUUCGUGAAGCUGGAUUCGCUAGUAAUCGCGCAUCAGCUAUGGCGCGGUGAAUACGUUCCCGGGCCUU
rnacentral:rRNA from 1 species